rnacentral:rRNA from 1 species
GGUGGGGAUGACGUCAAGUCCUCCAUGGCCUUUAUGCCCAGGGCUACACACGUACUACAAUGGGCGGUACAAAGGAAGCGAGUCCGCGAGGAGGAGCCAACCCCAAAAAGCCGUUCACAGUUCGGAUCGGAGUCUGCAACUCGAUCCGUGAAGUUGGAAUCGCUAGUAAUCGCGGAUCAGCAUGCCGCGGUGAAUACGUUCCCGGGCCUUGUACACACCGCCCGUCACACCACGAAAGUCGGCUGUACCAGAAGUGCGUGGGCUAACUUUUCGGAGAGGCAGCGUACCAAGGUGUGGUCGGUAAUUGGGGUG